rnacentral:rRNA from 2 species
AAUCCAUAGGUUAAUGAGGCGAACCGGGGGAACUGAAACAUCUAAGUACCCCGAGGAAAAGAAAUCAACCGAGAUUCCCCCAGUAGCGGCGAGCGAACGGGGAGGAGCCCAGAGCCUGAAUCAGCAUGUGUGUUAGUGGAAGCGUCUGGAAAGGCGCGCGAUACAGGGUGACAGCCCCGUACACAAAAGCGCAUGUGCUGUGAGCUCGAUGAGUAGGGCGGGACACGUGGUAUCCUGUCUGAAUAUGGGGGGACCAUCCUCCAAGGCUAAAUACUCCUGACUGACCGAUAGUGAACCAGUACCGUGAGGGAAAGGCGAAAAGAACCCCGGCGAGGGGAGUGAAAAAGAACCUGAAACCGUGUACGUACAAGCAGUGGGAGCACAGGUUUACCUGU